GGAUUGCCUCAGUAACGGCGAGUGAAGCGGCAACAGCUCAAAUUUAGAAUCUGGCCCUUCCGGGGUCCGAGUUGUAAUUUGCAGAGGAUGCUUCGGCGUCGGCCCCGGGUCAAGUCCCUUGGAACAGGGCGUCCUAGAGGGUGAGAGCCCCGUACGCCCGGGCCGCCUUCGCCGUGUGAAGCUCCUUCGACGAGUCGAGUUGUUUGGGAAUGCAGCUCUAAGAGGGAGGUAAAUUUCUUCUAAAGCUAAAUACCGGCCAGAGACCGAUAGCGCACAAGUAGAGUGAUCGAAAGAUGAAAAGCACUUUGGAAAGAGAGUUAAAAAGCACGUGAAAUUGUUGAAAGGGAAGCUCUUGCCGCCAGACUUGCCGCGGUUGCUCAGCCGCCCUUCCGGGCGGCGUACUCUUCCGCCGGCAGGCCAGCGUCAGCUCGGGCGGCCGGAAAAAGGCCCUGGGAAUGUAGCCCUCCUCGGGGGGUGUUAUAGCCCGGGGUGCAAUGCGGUCAGCCCGGGUUGAGGCACGCGUUCGCUAGGACGCNGGCGUAAUGGCUGCAAGCGACCCGUCUUGAAACACGGACCAAGGAGUCUAACAUCUGUGCGAGUGUUUGGGUGCCAAACCCGUGCGCGUAAUGAAAGUGAACGGAGGUGGGAACCCCCGAGGGUGCACCAUCGACCGAUCCUGAUGUCUUCGGAUGGAUUUGAGUAAGAGCAUAGCUGUUGGGACCCGAAAGAUGGUGAACUAUGCCUGAAUAGGGUGAAGCC
rnacentral:rRNA from 1 species